rnacentral:rRNA from 1 species
GCUCAGGACGAACGCUGGCGGCGUGCUUAACACAUGCAAGUCGAGCGGUAAGGCCCUUCGGGGUACACGAGCGGCGAACGGGUGAGUAACACGUGAGCAACCUGCCCCUGACUCCGGGAUAAGCGGUGGAAACGCCGUCUAAUACCGGACAUGACACGCCACCUCAUGGUGGUGUGUGGAAAGUUUUUCGGUCGGGGAUGGGCUCGCGGCCUAUCAGCUUGUUGGUGGGGUAAAGGCCUACCAAGGCGAUUACGGGUAGCCGGCCUGAGAGGGCGACCGGCCACACUGGGACUGAGACACGGCCCAGACUCCUGCGGGAGGCAGCAGUGGGGAAUAUUGCGCAAUGGGCGAAAGCCUGACGCAGCGACGCCGCGUGGGGGAUGACGGCCUUCGGGUUGUAAACCUCUUUUACCACCAACGCAGGCUCCCAGUUCUCUGGGGGUUGACGGUAGGUGGGGAAUAAGGACCGGCUAACUACGUGCCAGCAGCCGCGGUAAUACGUAGGGUCCGAGCGUUGUCCGGAAUUAUUGGGCGUAAAGAGCUCGUAGGCGGCGUGUCACGUCUGCUGUGAAAGACCGGGGCUUAACUCCGGUUCUGCAGUGGAUACGGGCAUGCUAGAGGUAGGUAGGGGAGACUGGAAUUCCUGGUGUAGCGGUGAAAUGCGCAGAUAUCAGGAGGAACACCGGUGGCGAAGGCGGGUCUCUGGGCCUUACCUGACGCUGAGGAGCGAAAGCAUGGGGAGCGAACAGGAUUAGAUACCCUGGUAGUCCAUGCCGUAAACGUUGGGCGCUAGGUGUGGGGACUUUCCGCGGUUUCCGCGCCGCAGCUAACGCAUUAAGCGCCCCGCCUGGGGAGUACGGCCGCAAGGCUAAAACUCAAAGGAAUUGACGGGGGCCCGCACAAGCGGCGGAGCAUGUUGCUUAAUUCGACGCAACGCGAAGAACCUUACCAAGGUUUGACAUCGCCCGUGGACCUGUAGAGAUACAGGGUCAUUUAGUUGGUGGGUGACAGGUGGUGCAUGGCUGUCGUCAGCUCGUGUCGUGAGAUGUUGGGUUAAGUCCCGCAACGAGCGCAACCCCUAUUCUAUGUUGCCAGCACGUCAUGGUGGGGACUCAUAGGAGACUGCCGGGGUCAACUCGGAGGAAGGUGGGGACGACGUCAAGUCAUCAUGCCCCUUAUGUCUUGGGCUGCGAACAUGCUACAAUGGCCGGUACAAUGGGCGUGCGAGACCGCAAGGUGGAGCGAAUCCCUAAAAGCCAGUCUCAGUUCGGAUUGGGGUCUGCAACUCGACCCCAUGAAGGUGGAGUCGCUAGUAAUCGCGGAUCAGCAACGCCGCGGUGAAUACGUUCCCGGGCCUUGUACACACCGCCCGUCACGUCAUGAAAGUCGGCAACACCCGAAACUUGUGGCCUAACCCUUCGGGGAGGGAAUGAGUGAAGGUGGGGCUGGCGAUUGGGACGAAGUCGUAACAAGGUAACCGUA